UUCAGCUGCCCCUUCUCCUCACUUGCACGGUCGGAUCGUGCCUCUCAGACGAAGUGAGAAACACUGCUGGGGACUGGGAGCUGGAGGAGCCAAGGGACGCGCGAGCUGAAGACGGAGGAAGAACAACUGGAAAAUUUCGCCUGCAAGCGACGAUCUGGACUGAGAUAAGCUCUCUGAUUUUUCCUCUAUCCUCUGUUUCGCUGAUUGGGUAUACAUUUGAGAGGAAGAUGCGAUCGAAAUUUGGAACAGAGAAAUCUGUUUGGGAUUUCGAUUUGUUGGUUGUACAAAACGCUCGAAUACUUGGGGGGGGGGGAGAGAGAGAGUGUGUGUGUGUGUGUGUGUACGUGAAUGGGUGCUUGUGCUGCUCAAAUUGUUCUUCUUUCUCUAAAUUUUGGUCAGUUAACCGAAAAGAAUUCCUCUGGUUUGCUGUGCUGAUAAGAUGUUACAAUAUAUACAUGUAUAUUUGUCCGUUGGGUUGAUGCUGUCUGUGUGGUUUGGUUAGCGAAUGGAGGUUAGAAAUUUUUGGAGUUUAUUAAGAAUAGUUGCGGCCGUUGCGUUUCAACGGAGAUGAAAUUUAUAAUAUGGCAGCAGCUGUGACGUGUGUGUACGUACUUUUGCGCUGUCCGAAACUGAGAAGAAAUAAAUUUGAAAAAAGAAGAAGAAGAAGAAGACGAGGAGAGAAGGAAUAGCAACGGUUUUGAUUUCUAACCAAGUCUACUAAGGACACGCAAAGAAAGAAAUCAAGAAAAUGUUGCUCUUGAAGAGGAGAAAGAAGCAAGUAGCAGAAUCACGAUUUCUUAUUUGUAUUGGUUGCAUGUCUACUUGUGCCAUACAUACUGUAAUUAAGCAUGAGAAUAAGUAAAGUUCCUUACCCCAGUUAUUGUCAUGGUUAUCUGCGUCAAUUGGUAUUUAUUUCUGUUAGAUGAAAGGUGUUGUUCUCGAUGGUUUGUUUUGCAUUUUACAUCUUGAAAUAUGAUUUUUGCUACUGAGAUUCCUCUGAAUCUCAAUCUUCUUCCAAA